rnacentral:rRNA from 1 species
UACGGAGGGCGCAAGCGUUUUUCGGAAUCAUUGGGCGUAAAGCGCGUGUAGGCGGUCUGGUCAGUCGGGUGUGAAAUACCGGUGCUCAACUCCGGAACUGCAUUCGAUACUGCCAGGCUAGAGUCCCGGGGAAGGUGGUGGAAUUCCCGGUGGAGAGGUGAAAUUAGUAGAUAACGGGAGGAACACCAGCGGCGAAGGCGGCCAACUGGGCGGUGACUGACGCUGAGGCGCGAAAGCGUGGGGAGCAAACAGG